AAUAUUGCGCAAUGGAGGGAACGCUGACGCAGCGACGCCGCGCGAGCGAUGAAGGUCUUCGGAUCGUAAAGCUCUGUCCUUGGGGAAGAAGGGCGCCGUAAGGCUUCUUGACGGUACCCAUGGAGCAGACCCCUGCUAACUACGUGCCAGCAGCCGCGGUAAUACGUAGGGGGCGAGCGUUGUCCGGAAUUAUUGGGCGUAAAGCGCGCGCAGGCGGCUUGUUAAGUCAGGUGUAAAAAUGCGGGGCUCAACCCCGUAUCGCCCUUGAAACUGGCAGGCUUGAGUGCAGGAGAGGGAAGUGGAAUUCCUAGUGUAGCGGUGAAAUGCGUAGAUAUUAGGAGGAACACCAGUGGCGAAGGCGACUUCCUGGACUGUAACUGACGCUGAGGCGCGAAAGCUAGGGGAGCAAAC
rnacentral:rRNA from 1 species